AUCCGUACGCCGGCCGUCUCUCCCCACGAACCUCACGCCGAAGAGUAGCCUCCGCUGGCGCCGCAUCUCCCGUCCUCCGCGACAACCAGGCGUGCACCCUUCUCCACUUCCCUUGCAGUCUCGCCGCGCCACCCGCGCAGACCGGCUCGAGGUCAGUGAGCAGGGGAUGUGGCGGCCGCCGGGGGGAUGGCGCAUCGGUUCGUCUCCGUCGUUCCCCAAACCUACGAAGAGUACGGAGACGGUGCGCUGAUGGAGACUCGCGGCGGGGCGAGAGGUUACUCCGACCGGCUGCCGGGCUACUACGGGUAAGGCAGAUCGUACAUGAUGAUGCUGUUGAAACAUUUCUUGAGAACACAAAACUAACAUCAGUGUUAAUUUUUUGUUUCGAAUUUUGACUUGAAAUUUCGUGACAACCUACACAUCAUCGAUCUGAGGGCUUGGCCGCAAGUUUUAGGUGGUGCCACUUUGCUGCCGAUGCAAGACCCCUUUUCCUCCUUCCUAUAGGCUCCUCGUGGCUGCUUUUGGAGGAGAUCGCCGUCAAUGAGCGGCGGCACCUCGUCCGGCCGCGGCAGCGCACUUCCUCCUGGCGCUCAGCCCUGCACCAGGUGACCCAGCAGGAGCCCAUGGGAAGCCGGGAAAUGGUUACGUGUAUGGUGUCGGGCAUCCGUGUGGACUCCCCCGCUGGGACCUGGAGAGAGUUGAAGACGCUUUCAGUGCCAAACAAGCAAAGAUGAUUUCGCUCUGAGGCUGGGCAUAGAAAUCAACCUAUCGAAGUGGCUGUUGUUAGUCUCUUGUCAUCCUUAAUCUGAUUUACUGAGCAUUUGCAGUGGUAGGGAUAAUGCCAUGUCAUUGCAAUUUCGAUACAAGUUUCUGCAAAGCAAAAUUCGUUCGUCC